CUAAGAGUGGGGUUAGAUGUAAAAUUUCAGGACACAUCCUCAGUAGUGUUCCUUCGAAUCAGGGGGUGUUUCGGCCUUUAAACACUAUACACCCUCAUCAAAGGCGGCCAGCUACAGGGUGAUCAAGCCUUAGCUUGUGUCCCAUGCCCAAUCAUUAGGAUUAGCCUAGCUGUAAAAUGGCUAAUAUCCCAAGGGACUAUGCAAGGCAGGGGCGUCCUCUUCCCUGAGCCAAGCCUACAGCUGACCGCAUACCUCAUGGGCCCUCCUCAGGUUGGAGGGUUGGGAUUCGGGCUCUCAGGUCGGGGGGGGUCAUGUUCUUAGGGCCCAGCAAGGGUCCUUCCGUUUAGCCCAUAGCCACUGGCUGCCCCUUUCAGCUGCUUCAGAGACUGAUCUGAUGGUCUGCCGCAGAGCCUGUCCCUGGAUUCCAAGUUCCUUCAGCAGCCUGAUGGUGGAAGAGGCCACGAAUCCUCUACAUCCGACUUCAACCGGACAGACUUUUGCAUUCCAGCCAUGUUGAAUUGCGUCUGCUGCUAGCUCUGUGUAUCGCAGCUUUUUUCGCUCAUAGGCCUCCUCAACAGAGUUCUCCCA